GACUCAGUGGCAGACGGUCUACGUCCACUUCAAUUACACAUGUGGUGGAAUAGAUUUGUUUGUGGAAGGUGCCCGUUCGACUCGGGCCUGAGUCA